rnacentral:lncRNA from 1 species
AAUGGACUACUUCAAGAAUUAUUGUUGGUAUGAAUAAUCUUAAGUACAACUCUGGUGAGGAUCUUGGUUUUUAAAGGAAUAAGGCCUCUUAUAAUCCUUGUAACAAGUAUGUAUAUGUCCCUGACAAUUGGUUGUACACUUACUGCGGCCAAAACGGCCAUUGCAGGCAUUAUUGUUAGUUCUCUAUCAAUGCUAGAAAGAGAAAUCAAAGCAUGUUGAAUCUAUCAGGAAUUUCAAGAGAUUAGAUUCCUCAAAGAAGAAGCUCACAGUACCAGGCUAGCCAUUCAUCUUUUUUCCCAUGCCAAGGUAUCCAAGAUCAUUUGAAUUUCCAAA